GCGUCGGGAGACUACCAGAGAUGGAUUGGUGCCUUCGGGAACUCUGAGACAGGUGCUGCAUGGCUGUCGUCAGCUCGUGUUGUGAAAUGUUGGGUUAAGUCCCGCAACGAGCGCAACCCUUAUCCUUUGUUGCCAGCGGUCCGGCCGGGAACUCAAAGGAGACUGCCAGUGAUAAACUGGAGGAAGGUGGGGAUGACGUCAAGUCAUCAUGGCCCUUACGAGUAGGGCUACACACGUGCUACAAUGGCGCAUACAAAGAGAAGCGACCUCGCGAGAGCAAGCGGACCUCAUAAAGUGCGUCGUAGUCCGGAUUGGAGUCUGCAACUCGACUCCAUGAAGUCGGAAUCGCUAGUAAUCGUGGAUCAGAAUGCCACGGUGAAUACGUUCCCGGGUCUUGUACACACCGA
rnacentral:rRNA from 1 species